rnacentral:rRNA from 1 species
GAUGAACGCUAGCGGUAUGCUUAACACAUGCAAGUCGUACGGGAGUUUUUAACUCAAGUGGCGGACGGGUGAGUAACACGUGAGAAUUUACCUUUAGGAGGGGGAUAACAAUUGGAAACGAUUGCUAAUACCCCCAUAUGCUUUUUUUAAGUGAAACGGAUUUAUUCGCCUAAAGAAAAGCUCGCGGCUGAUUAGCUAGUUGGUAAGGUAAUGGCUUACCAAGGCGACGAUCAGUAUCUGGUUUGAGAGGAUGAUCAGACACACUGGAACUGAGACACGGUCCAGACUCCUACGGGAGGCAGCAGUGGGGAAUUUUCCGCAAUGGGCGAAAGCCUGACGGAGCAAUACCGCGU